rnacentral:rRNA from 1 species
CAGCAGCCGCGGUAAAACGUAGGUCCCGAGCGUUGUCCGGAUUUAUUGGGCGUAAAGCGAGCGCAGGCGGUUAGAUAAGUCUGAAGUUAAAGGCUGUGGCUUAACAUAGUACGCUUUGGAAACUGUUUAACUUGAGUGCAAGAGGGGAGAGUGGAAUUCCAUGUGUAGCGGUGAAAUGCGUAGAUAUAUGGAGGAACACCGGUGGCGAAAGCGGCUCUCUGGCUUGUAACUGACGCUGAGGCUCGAAAGCGUGGGGAACAAACAGGAUUAGAUACCCCGGUAGUCCCUGUCUCUUAUACAC